GUCUAUAGCCAUACCACUCUGAAUGCGUCCAAUCUUGUCUGGUCUCAGAAGCUAAGCAGGGUGGAGUCUGGUUAGUUCUUGGAUGGGAAAAAGAUUUUCAGAGAAGACUGCUGAGAGACAAACAGUUUGAAGACA
rnacentral:rRNA from 1 species